AGGCAUGCAAGUCGAACGGUGAGGCCCCGCAAGGGGCCGAUCAGUGGCGAAAGGGUGAGUAACACGUGAGCAAUCUGCCCUCGAGAUCGGGAUAGCCCCGGGAAACUGGGAUUAAUACCGGAUGUGGUUACCGGUCGCAUGGCCGGUGUACUGAAGGCGCAAGCCGCUCGAGGAUGAGCUCGCGUCCGAUUAGCUAGUUGGCGGGGUCACGGCCCACCAAGGCUGAGAUCGGUAGGUGGUCUGAGAGGAUGGUCACCCACACUGGGACUGAGACACUGCCCAGACUCCUACGGGAGGCUGCAGUCGAGAAUCUUCCGCGAUGGGCGAAAGCCUGACGGAGCGAUGCCGCGUGAGGGACGAAACCAAUGACGGUACCGGGAGAGGAAGCUACGGCUAACUACGUGCCAGCAGCCGCGGUAAUACGUAGGUAGCAAGCGUUAUUCGGAUUUACUGGGCGUAAAGGGUCCGCAGGGGGCCUGCCAAGUCUGAUGUGAAACACCACGGCUCAACUGUGGAACGGCAUUGGAAACUGGCGGGCUAGAGUGCAUGAGGGGUGAGCAGAAUUCCUGGUGUAGCGGUGGAAUGCGUAGAUAUCAGGAGGAAUACCGAUGGCGAAGGCGGCUCACUGGCAUGCAACUGACCCUCAGGGACGAAAGCGUGGGUAGCAAACAGGAUUAGAUACCCUGGUAGUCCACGCUGUAAACGGUGUACACUAGAUGUGGGUGGUCCUUUUGGUCCCAUCCGUGUCCAAGCUAACGCGUUAAGUGUACCGCCUGGGGACUACGGCCGCAAGGUUAAAACUCAAAGGAAUUGACGGGGGCCCGCACAAGCGGUGGAGUAUGUGGCUUAAUUCGAGGCAACGCGAAGAACCUUACCUGGGCUUGACAUAUACCUGACGGGGUGUGAAAGCAUCCUUUCCUUCGGGACGGGUAUACAGGUGCUGCAUGGCUGUCGUCAGCUCGUGUCGUGAGAUGUUCGGUUAAGUCCGGCAACGAGCGCAACCCGUACUGUCAGUUGCGAACAGGUGAAGCUGAGCACUCUGGCGGGACUGCCCGUGUUAAGCGGGAGGAAGGCGCGGAUGACGUCAAGUCAGUAUGGCCCUUACGUCCAGGGCUGCACACGUACUACAAUGGGCGGUACAGUGGGUAGCAAUACCGCGAGGUGGAGCAAAUCCUCAAAACCGCCCCCAGUUCAGAUUGCAGUCUGCAACUCGACUGCAUGAAGCCGGAAUCGCUAGUAAAGGCGUAUCAGCAACGACGCCUUGAAUACGUUCCCGGGCCUUGUACACACCGCCCGUCACAUCAUGGAAGCCGGUUGCACCCGACACUUCCGAUCCAACCCGCAAGGGAGGUAGGAAACUAAGGUGUGCCCGGUAACUGGGAUGAAGUCGUAACAAGGUA
rnacentral:rRNA from 1 species